rnacentral:rRNA from 1 species
CUACGGGCGGCACCAGUGGGGAAUAUUGGACAAUGGACCAAAAGUCUGAUCCAGCAAUUCUGUGUGCACGAUGAAGGUUUUCGGAUCGUAAAGUGCUUUCAACAGGGAAGAAGUUCUGACGGUACCUGUAGAAGAAGUGACGGCUAAAUACGUGCCAGCAGCCGCGGUAAUACGUAUGUCACAAGCGUUAUCCGGAUUUAUUGGGCAUAAAGGGCAUCUAGGGGGCUUUGUAAGUCCGAUGUUAAAAUGCGGGGCUCAACCCCGUAUUGCGUUGGAAACUACUUGGCUAGAGUAUUGGAGAGGUAGGCGGAACUACAUGUGUAGAGGUGAAAUUCGUAGAUAUAUGUAGGAAUGCCGAUGACGAAGGUAGCUUACUGGACAAUUACUGACGCUGAAGUGCGAAAGCUAGGGGAGCGAACAGGAUUAGAUACCCGUGUAGUC